CGGCUAUCAGAGAACGGCGCA
rnacentral:siRNA from 1 species